rnacentral:rRNA from 1 species
UACGUAGGGUGCAAGCGUUGUCCGGAAUUAUUGGGCGUAAAGAGCUCGUAGGCGGCUUGUCACGUCUGCUGUGAAAACUCGGGGCUCAACCCCGAGCCUGCAGUGGAUACGGGCUAGCUAGAGUGCGGUAGGGGAGACUGGAAUUCCUGGUGUAGCGGUGAAAUGCGCAGAUAUCAGGAGGAACACCGGUGGCGAAGGCGGGUCUCUGGACCGAUACUGACGCUGAGGAGCGAAAGCGUGGGGAGCGAACGGG